rnacentral:snoRNA from 1 species
AGAGAAAAGACGAUGAUGUGUUUCCAAGCACAUAUCUGACUUAUUAUAUGUGUGGAUGACAAUCAAGCUGAGUCUUUUCCA